CCUACGGGAGGCAGCAGUGGGGAAUAUUGGGCAAUGGGGGAAACCCUGAUCCAGCGACGCCGCGUGAGUGAAGAAGUAUUUCGGUAUGUAAAGCUCUAUCAGCAGGGAAGAAAAUGACGGUACCUGACUAAGAAGCCCCGGCUAACUACGUGCCAGCAGCCGCGGUAAUACGGAGGGUGCGAGCGUUAGUCGGAAUGACUGGGCGUAAAGCGCUCGGAGGCGGUAUGUCAAGUCAAGGGUGAAAUCCCCGCGCUAAACGUGGGAAACGCCUUUGAAACUGGAAAACUGGAGUGUGUGAGAGGAGAGUGGAAUUCCAGGUGUAGGAGUGAAAUCCGUAGAUAUCUGGAGGAACAUCAGUGGCGAAGGCGACUAUCUGGCACAUAACUGACGCUGAGGAGCGAAAGCGUGGGUAGCAAACAGGAUUAGAUACCCUAGUAGUC
rnacentral:rRNA from 1 species